GUGGACCUACGGGGCGCAGCAGUAGGGAAUCUUCCACAAUGGGCGAAAGCCUGAUGGAGCAACGCCGCGUGGGUGAAGAAGGUCUUCGGAUCGUAAAACCCUGUUGUUAGAGAAGAAAGUGCGUGAGAGUAACUGUUCACGUUUCGACGGUAUCUAACCAGAAAGCCACGGCUAACUACGUGCCAGCAGCCGCGGUAAUACGUAGGUGGCAAGCGUUAUCCGGAUUUAUUGGGCGUAACGGGAACGCCGGCGGUCUUUUA
rnacentral:rRNA from 1 species